rnacentral:rRNA from 1 species
AGUGAACGCUGGCGGCGUGCUUAACACAUGCAAGUCGAACGAGAACGGGUUAUAACUUGUUAUAACUGUCAGCUAAGUGGCGCACGGGUGAGUAAUGUAUAGGUAAUAUGCCUCUUACUAAGGGAUAACAAAUGGAAACGUUUGCUAAUACCUUAUACUCCUUAUUAACAGAAGUUAAUAAGGGAAAGAUUUAUUGGUAAGAGAUUAGCCUGUAUUGUAUCAGUUAGUUGGUGGGGUAAUGGCUUACCAAGACUAUGACACAUAACUGGUUUGAGAGGAUGAUCAGUCACACUGGAACUGAGACACGGUCCAGACUCCUACGGGAGGCAGCAGUGGGGAAUAUUGCACAAUGGACGAAAGUCUGAUGCAGCAACGCCGCGUGGAGGAUGACACAUUUCGGUGCGUAAACUCCUUUUAUAUGAGAAGAUAAUGACGGUAUUAUAUGAAUAAGCAUCGGCUAACUCCGUGCCAGCCGCCGCCGUAAGAC